rnacentral:rRNA from 1 species
CCUACGGGAGGCAGCAGUGGGGAAUAUUGCACAAUGGGGGAAACCCUGAUGCAGCGACGCCGCGUGAGUGAAGAAGUAUUUCGGUAUGUAAAGCUCUAUCAGCAGGGAAGAAAAUGACGGUACCUGAUUAAGAAGACCCGGCUAACUACGUGCCAGCAUGCGCGGUAAUACGUAGGGGGCAAGCGGUAUACGGAUGUACUGGGGGGAAAGGGAGCGUAGACGGCAGCACAAGUCUGGAGUGAAAUGCCGGGGCUUAACCCCGGAACUGCUUUGGAAACUGUGCAGCUAGAGUGCAGGAGAGGUAAGUGGAAUGCCUAGUGUAGCGGUGAAAUGCGUAGAUAUUAGGAGGAACACCAGUGGCGAAGGCGGCUUACUGGACUGUAACUGCCGUUGAGGCUCGAAAGCGUGGGGAGCAAACAGGAUUAGAUACCCCUGUAGUC